CCAAUCGCAUUCUCCGGGGUGACAUUCUCCAAUCGCAUUCUCCCGGGUGCCUGAGAUCAUGGUGCACCUCGUGGCUGCCAGACUGCUCGCUGGAACCCUGGAACCACACUCGCAGCCUUCCGAGCGCUCUCAGAGAAUUGGCAGGGCCUCCAGCCACAAUUGAACUUGACACAUGCGCCAUCUAGUGUUCAUAUGUGAACUGGAGAGUCGAACAUGGGUCCUUAGGCUUUGCCGGUCUCCUGUAUCCAUCCAUCCUGGCUCUUCAGUGCUGUGCUUUAGUCUUGGGUCAUCUCACCGGGCAGCUUUGUAUGCAGGUUCCCUGAUAACAACAUGAGCAGAACCUCCUUCCCCAGAGAUCAAUCAGGAGACUGAUGACAGGAGCAAGAGGACACUUCCCACUGCUUGGUAAAGGUAUACCAGCUCCCAUAUCCUUUGGAAAUCAUUAUCUUUGAGCUCUCCGACCUUGACCUUCUAGAUGAAGAAGACCUCCAUCUACAUCCUCUGUUGCUUGUACAACUUCUCCAAGUUCUUCUACAGGCCCACAAGGAUUGCCUUCAGAGGUGUUUCCACUGUUUAUGCAACGAGGAACACUCCCAGUGCACAGUUCCUCAACUUCGAAUGGAAAGAGGAGUAAACACCAGCCCUUGGAAACAAUUGAGCAUAUUAACCCUGGGCAACGUGUGCCAAGAUUGCCCCAUGGAGGAAGCUUCACGUUGUUCACGUGAUCCUCCGCCAUCUUAGGUAGGCUAUCUUGUGCUACACUACCCCCCCACGACCAACUCUGCCCGAAGCUGGCACACAAGUAACAAAGAAAGACAUUUCUACUGCAUGGAGAGCUUCAACCAUCAUCUUUUCGUAAUGGUGCUCAUUCACUACGGUGCUCAUUCACUCUGGUGCGCAUUCACUCCACUUCGGGUGCCCUUGAUGUACCAAUUCUGCAUCUUAGUGUCCAUCAGCCCUCUCAGUUCAUGCAGCACUCCCAGGAUUUCUAGCUUGAGUCUUUUGCCCCCCACUUUCAGUGAGGGGCACAACCACAUGACCUUGGUCUUUGACCUUCAAUGCCACAAUUCGUCCAAAACUCCAAAUCAGAAUGUUCAACACCUUCACCCUGGCCCAGUGGUCACCUCACCUCCCUAAAUCAUACUCGGCCCAGAAUUGGCUAGCCUGCAACCACGCAGAUUUGAGAUGGCGGACACUAUUUUCCCAUCCUAACACUUGACUGCUUAACAGCAGUCGAUUUUCCCAAAGCCACAGCUACACUCUCACCACUAGAGGAUCACCACCAGAGGAUCACCAGCAGGACGAUCACCAGCAGAACGAUCACCAGCAGGACGAUCACCAGCAGGACGAAUAGAAACAGCAGAUUCCAGAUACAGCAAUGACUUACAACACCAACACAUUUAUAUCCACAAAAAGCCCAGAUGGGCAAUGAAAAAAAUUAAAGCAGGUAUCCGUGGCCCCGAUGGGCAGAAAAACAAAGUGAAAGCAGGUAUCCGAGGCCCCGAUGGGCAAGGGAAAAAUACUAAGUGCACGUAUCCCAAGCCCCGAUGGGCCAAGAAAUACAUUUUUUUAAAGCAGGUAUCCAUUGCCCCGAUGGACUGAGGGGGAUAAAAAAAAAUUAAAAGCAGGUAUCCGCAGCCCGGAUGGGCAAUUUUUUCAAAAAAAUCUGCAGAUAUCCACAGCUCUGUUGGACAAAAGGGGAAGGGAGGAGGAGGGGAAACGGGCACCCUUAGUCCCCGAUGUGCAGAAUACACAAAUGGACUAAAAUAAAGGUAAGUGCACAAAAGUAUGUCAACAAAAAAACAUUACAAAACUAAAAAAUUAUUUAAAAAUGAAUAUUCCACACACCUGAAAAAUAUUGAGGACCUGUCAAGAAAAUGCCAAUAAAAAAGUCACAUUUUUAAAGAACACUAAAUGCAAUUUUGAUAUUAUUCGCUUCGAGCACACCAUAGGGUGUGUCGGAGGUACUAAGAAAUUGUUCCUCAAGGAUCCACUAAGUGGAAAGGACCUCAUAAUCACUCGAGUCAAACAUGGCUGCUUGAACAGUUUGCAGGGCUUUAAGGGAGAGAGGAGCUGAAGGCGGAGAGAACAAGAGGAGUGGCUUACAAUUACUAUCCGAAGCCUUAUUGGAGGCUCAGCUCAACUAUUACCCAAUAAAAAGGAAAAAGGGAUCUAAAUAUAUAAUAUGGCACCCUCAAAACCAAAAGUUUCAUAAUCUUACAUGAUGCUAAACAAUUAUUCUUCUAUUUUAUGGAUUAUGGAAAGGCACAUGACAGUUAAAUGAUGUUCAUGAGUUCACACACCAUAAUUGAGUCAAAUCUAUUUUCUUCAACAUUCUACCUUGAAUGGUCCUAUCAUGGAGCAUCUGAGUUCAUUGGUAACCAAGAGAGAAGGAGCUUUUCAUUGAAUGACUACUACAUCCCUAAGUAAUCAAAGAGUACUACUGGGUUUGACUUGUUUGUACUUCUUAAACUCAGUCUUUGAUCAUCAUCAUUUCCUACAUCAUCUAGGAACCUGAGGACCACCAAACUUUUGACCAAUAAAAAUCACUGUCAAAGAGCUUGCAAAAGGCAAAGGAGAAGUUAGGAGUGUAGCUCAGUGUUGAACACUUGCCCCAGAAACCUGCCUAUUUCGAUAUCAAACAAUUAACAUGGUGUACUCUAAUAUUAGUUACUGAGAAACAACAAAACCUACCUAAAGUAUUAGAAAAUCAAAAAUGUCAAAGAAAAAAAUUGUUCUCCUACCGACUUAAUUGGAAAGAAUAACUCAAAUAGUAUCCUAAGCCAGGCCACCAGGUUCCAGAUUAAUAACAACUUAUGCAAAAUUGUCUUACUUGAAGAUCACUCUCUACCUUCAAAGUACCCUUAGUUCACUAAUCUCUGGUUCAGGUAGGGUGGAAAAUCAAAUUUGGAACCAGCUAGGGGUAUGAAGUGAAUUAAUAAUAUCAAUUAAUAACAAAACAACAAAGAAAGAAAAAGAAAGUAAGAAACAAAGAAAAGAGGAAGCAGUCUUGGUUUCCACCAGAGGGCAGCAUGAAUCUAUAGAGGGCAUUUGGAAUCGAACUAAACUAUAAUCUGAAUAGAAGAAGAAAAUUUAUCCAAGUUUAAUAUCAGAAGACAGGCUGGAGGAAGAGUACGCAAUUUCCGCAUGCGCCCUGGAAUGGAGCCUCGAACCAGCGUCCUUAUGCUUCACAGGCAAACGCUUAACUGCUAAGCCAUCUCCAGCCCAACAAUUUCAUUUUAUUUAAAGAGGCCACCAUAGUGGGAGUUUUCCUUGCUUCAGGGCAAUGCCAUUAAAGAAAAUUGAUGGAGCAAUUGGAAUAAAAGUAGGCUUAUGGAUCUUCCAAAUCAUCAUUGGCAAAAAGUGGUGGAAGAGAUUAUAAAACUAGUAUUACCUGAUCCCAAAACUCUACUAAGAUAUUUAAAAACCUGACAAUUAUAAAUUAACUUCAUUGAUAAACAUGGAUACAAAUUCCUUAAUAAGUGCAAACAAUUCACAAACACAUCAAAAAUAUACAUCUCCAGGCUGGAGAGAUGGCUUAGCGGUUAAGCCCUUGCCUGUGAAGCCUAAGGACCCCAGUUUGAGGCUCGUGUCCCCAGGUCCCACGUUAGCCAGACGCACAA